rnacentral:rRNA from 1 species
GAUUUAUUGGGCGUAAGCGAGCGCAGACGGUUAUUUAAGUCUGAAGUGAAAGCCCUCAGCUCAACUGAGGAAUUGCUUUGGAAACUGGAUGACUUGAGUGCAGUAGAGGAAAGUGGAACUCCAUGUGUAGCGGUGAAAUGCGUAGAUAUAUGGAAGAACACCAGUGGCGAAGGCGGCUUUCUGGACUGUAACUGACGUUGAGGCUCGAAAGUGUGGGUAGCAAACAGGAUUAG